rnacentral:lncRNA from 1 species
UCUGCCUCAGACUUGCCUGUCAAUUUAGUCAUUAAAUUGACAAGUCCCUUGAGGUCCAAGUCCACUCCAUGCCGGCUUGUUUUCCUCACUAUUCAACCCAGAGAUGUGGGCACUACAGCGGCCCCACAACGAGACUGAACUUAGCCUCGGAAUGGAAUCAUCACUCAAACGAGCACGUGGGAGGAGGGGCAGGGCAGGAGCUCCUGGGCCGCUUCCCCGGAUCGGGAUCUCUGUUCCAGCCCAGACAGCUGACUAGAUUGAUUUCCAGGUCACGGUUUGUGCUGAAGUCACUGUUUCCAAGCUCUGAGUCACCGCCCAAGACGUGUUUUCUGGAACUUGGAGUUGAAUGGAAUCAGACUCUGUGUCUGCUCUCUCCCCAGCCUUAAAUACAGGUGGUUUUGCUUUUUUUUUUUUUUUUUUUUUUUUUUUUUUUUUUUUUUUUUUUUUUUUGAGUGUUUCCCACUGUGACUGAAAAGUCAUAGAAACAGCUAUUGUGGAGAAAAGGGCUAAAAUGGGGGAAGUGAAUAACUGGGUGAUUUUGGCCAAAGUGAAGGCUCCAGGGCAACAAGCUAAAUUUGGUCAACAAUGUGAAGGUUCUGCCUCCCCACAGGAACUGUGUGUGCUAUCCAAGCCAGAGGCCUGACUCCUGACACAGCUCCAGAGUCACGGCACACAGAGCCCUGCUGCUCUGCCCUCCAGCCUUGCCUGCCUCACCAUUCUCAGAAAACCAAAGGAGGAAAAUUGAGCAUAAGAGGAAGUGAGAUUCGAACAAUUACGAGUGGGUAAAGUUGCCCAAACAUGAGCAAAAUUGAAAAGAUAAAGCAUAGGAAACACGAAACCAGAGCGUGAGGAGAAGGGGAAUGAACGCAACAUGCCAAGAAAAGGUUGGGGUGGUGGGAGAGGGAAUCAGAACUCAGGCAUCAGAUGGUCACCUCUGCCCUUCUCAGUGCUAUACAGCUUCAUAGAGCAUGAGCCCAUCAAGAAGAACAAGAACCCAGAGAUAGAUGGUGUGGCUAGAGUUGAAAGCAAGGUGUUCCCCAUAGGCUUGUGUGUUUGGAUUCCUGAUUCCUAGACUGUGGUGCUGUUUGAGGAGGCUGUGGAACCCUCAAGAGGUAGGACCUAGGCGGAGGAGUGAGUCCCCAGGAGAUGGGCUUUGGGGCUGUAGUCGGCCCCUCCCUUCCAGCCUGGGCUCCCUACUUCCUGCCUCACAUCCCAGGCUCCGUCUGCUGUGCUGGCCAUGAUGGACUGUCUCCCUCCAACCAAAAACACAGAGUACCAUCAUUAUAGAAUUAAAAUACAAAUUAGAUGCAAGAAGAAACAAUACCAUUGGAAGCAAUGUGAGCCUCAACCUUCAGGAGAAGCUGAAGAGAAUUAGUGACCAUAGACAGCAAAGGCGUGGAUAAGGAAAGGAGAAAUAGCUGAUUAAUACAAGGACAACCAGAUGCCCUAUGGCGAAGGAGCCCAGCAUAGGGAAUAAAAGAUACAUUCAAAAGCA